rnacentral:tRNA from 4 species
GGAAGGAUGCCGGAGUGGUUUAACGGCCAGUUCUCGAAAAGCUUGGGAGACUCUGUCUCACGGGGGUUCGAAUCCCCCUCCUUCCG